UACAGAGGUCCCAAGCGUUAUUCGGAUUCACUGGGCGUAAAGGGUGCGCAGGCGGCCGUGUGUGUGAGGCGUGAAAGCCCGGGGCUUAACCCCGGAAUUGCACCUCAAACUACACGGCUAGAGCAUUGGAGAGGGUAGCGGAAUUCACGGUGUAGCAGUGAAAUGCGUAGAUAUCGUGAGGAACACCAGAGGCGAAGGCGGCUACCUGGACAAUUGCUGACGCUCAGGCACGAAAGCGUGGGGAGCAAAAGGG
rnacentral:rRNA from 1 species